rnacentral:rRNA from 1 species
ACACUCCUGCGGGAGGCAGCAGUGGGGAAUAUUGCACAAUGGGCGCAAGCCUGAUGCAGCCAUGCCGCGUGUAUGAAGAAGGCCUUCGGGUUGUAAAGUACUUUCAGCGGGGAGGAAGGCGAUAAGGUUAAUAACCUUGUCGAUUGACGUUACCCGCAGAAGAAGCACCGGCUAACUCCGUGCCAGCAGCCGCGGUAAUACGGAGGGUGCAAGCGUUAAUCGGAAUUACUGGGCGUAAAGCGCACGCAGGCGGUCUGUCAAGUCGGAUGUGAAAUCCCCGGGCUCAACCGGGGAACUGCAUUCGAAACUGGCAGGCUAGAGUCUUGUAGAGGGGGGUAGAAUUCCAGGUGUAGCGGUGAAAUGCGUAGAGAGCUGGAGGAAUACCGGUGGCGAAGGCGGCCCCCUGGACAAAGACUGACGCUCAGGUGCGAAAGCGUGGGGAGCAAACAGGAUUAGAUACCCCUGUAGUCCC